AUGGGUACAAAAACCAAUUAUCUUUGACUGCUGCUCUCAACCACAUAAUGCGCCAUUCAUCACUGGUAGCAAAGAUUUACAGAAUGUCAGCAUCACACUGCGCAUCCUCUUCCAGCCCAUCGCUAGCCAGCAUCCUCUCAUCUUCACCAGCCUUGGAGAGGACUAUGAUGAGCCUGUGCUGCCGUUCAUUACCACUGAGAUCCUCAAGUCACUGCUGGCUUGCUUUGAUGCUGGAGAACUAAUCACCCAGAGAGAGCUGGUCUCCAGCCAGGUGAGCAACGACCUUAUGGAGUGAGCAGCCACCUUUGGGCUCAUCCUGGACAACAUGUCUUUGACAUAUCUGACCUUCGGGAAGGAGUUAAUAGGAGCAGUGGAAGCCAAACAGAUGGCCCAGCAGGAGGCAGAGAGCGCCAGAUUUGUGGUGAAGGCUAAGCAGCAGAAAAAGACGGCCAUCAUCUCUGCUGAGGGUGACUCCAAGGCAGCUGAGCUGAUCACCAACUCACUGGCCACUGCAGGGGACGGCCUGAGCAAGCUGUGCAAGCUGGAAACUGUGGAAGACAUUGCAUACCAGCUCUCACGCUCUUGGAACAUCAUCUGCCUGCCAGUGGGGCAGUCCGUGCUCCUCCAGUUGCCCUAGUGAGGGCCCAGCCUACCUGCACCUCCGUGAGGCAACUGGGCCACAGCCCCGAUGAUUUGUAAUACCACCUUCUGCCCUCACCCCAGAAAUCACUGAAAUUUCAUGAUUGGCUUAAAGUGAAGGAAAUAAAGGUAAAAUCACUUCAGCUCUCUAAAAAACAAAAGAAGAAUUACAUGGGUUAGUACAUGAAAAAAUUAUGGGAAACUACAUGGAAUAUACUGUUACGUUCAAUAAACAUUAGCUUCUAUAUAUAAUAA